rnacentral:rRNA from 1 species
UACGUAGGGCGCGAGCGUUGUCCGGAAUUAUUGGGCGUAAAGAGCUCGUAGGCGGCCUGUCGCGUCUGCUGUGAAAUCCCGGGGCUUAACCCCGGGCGUGCAGUGGAUACGGGCUGGCUGGAGGCAGGCAGGGGAGAACGGAAUUCCCGGUGUAGCGGUGAAAUGCGCAGAUAUCGGGAGGAACACCGGUGGCGAAGGCGGUUCUCUGGGCCUGUUCUGACGCUGAGGAGCGAAAGCGUGGGGAGCGAACAGG